rnacentral:rRNA from 3 species
GGGGGGUACCCCCUGCUCCAUGAUUUAAAUAGCCGCAGUAUUUUGACUGUGCUAAGGUAGCAUAAUAAUUUGCCCCUUAGUUGGGGGCUGGUAUAAAUGGGGAGACGUUGUCUUAGCUUUCUUGGCGCAUGAAAUUUAAUUUGAUAUUUGCUUCAAAAAGAGCAACUUUUUGCAAAGACGAUAAGACCCUAUAAAACUUUAUCUGAGUCGGAGAUUGAAUUUUGAUUUAGCAGUCUCCUCCGGGGAUUAAGCUGGGGCGGCAUUCAAAAAACCUUGAUAGAAAUAACACGUACAGGUGGUUAAGUAGAUCUGAUCCAGAGGUGGAACAAGUUACUUUAGGGAUAACAGCACAAUUCUUUUGUAUAGAUCUUAUAGAUGGGGGAGACUUGUGACCUCGAUGUUGAAUUGAGGGGCCUGGGUUAAGUAGAAAUAACUCUAGGGGGUCUGUUCGACCUGUAAAACCUC